AUUGAACGCUGGCGGCAUGCUUUACACAUGCAAGUCGAACGGCAGCACGGACUUCGGUCUGGUGGCGAGUGGCGAACGGGUGAGUAAUACAUCGGAACGUGCCCAGUUGUGGGGGAUAACUACUCGAAAGAGUAGCUAAUACCGCAUGAGAACUGAGGUUGAAAGCAGGGGAUCGUAAGACCUUGCGCAACUGGAGCGGCCGAUGGCAGAUUAGGUAGUUGGUGGGAUAAAAGCUUACCAAGCCGACGAUCUGUAGCUGGUCUGAGAGGACGACCGUCCACACUGGGACUGGGACACGGCCCAGACUCCUCCGGGAGGCAGCAGUGGGGAAUUUUGGACGAUGGGCGAAAGCCUGAUCCAGCAAUGCCGCGUGCAGGAUGAAGGCCUUCGGGUUGUAAACUGCUUUUGUACGGAACGAAAAGCUUCGGGUUAAUACCCUGGAGUCAUGACGGUACCGUAAGAAUAAGCACCGGCUAACUACGUGCCAGCAGCCGCGGUAA
rnacentral:rRNA from 1 species